AUGAACGCUGGCGGCGUGCUUAACACAUGCAAGUCGAACGCAACACCUUAUUUGAUUUUCUUCGGAACUGAAGAUUUGGUGAUUGAGUGGCGGACGGGUGAGUAACGCGUGGGUAACCUGCCCUGUACAGGGGGAUAACAGUCAGAAAUGACUGCUAAUACCGCAUAAGACCACAGCACCGCAUGGUGCAGGGGUAAAAACUCCGGUGGUACAGGAUGGACCCGCGUCUGAUUAGCUGGUUGGUGAGGUAACGGCUCACCAAGGCGACGAUCAGUAGCCGGCUUGAGAGAGUGAACGGCCACAUUGGGACUGAGACACGGCCCAAACUCCUACGGGAGGCAGCAGUGGGGAAUAUUGCACAAUGGGGGAAACCCUGAUGCAGCGACGCCGCGUGAGUGAAGAAGUAUUUCGGUAUGUAAAGCUCUAUCAGCAGGGAAGAAAAUGACGGUACCUGACUAAGAAGCCCCGGCUAACUACGUG
rnacentral:rRNA from 1 species